rnacentral:rRNA from 1 species
UACGUAGGGUGCGAGCGUUACUCGGAAUUACUGGGCGUAAAGCGUGCGCAGGCGGUUCGUUGUGUCGGCGGUGAAAGCCCCGGGCUCAACCUGGGAAUGGCCGUUGAAACUGGCGAACUGGAGUGUGGCAGGGGGGGGUGGAAUUCCGCGUGUAGCAGUGAAAUGCGUAGAGAUGCGGAGGAACACCGAUGGCGAAGGCAGCCCCCUGGGCUGACACUGACGCUCAGGCACGAAAGCGUGGGGAGCAAACAGG